GGGCACUUGGUCUAGGGGUAUGAUUUUCGCUUCGCAUCAUUAAAAUGUACAUGUGAAAGGUCGUGGGUUCAAUUCCCACAGUGUCCA
rnacentral:tRNA from 1 species